GUUUUUGGAAAGAACACAAACAACAAUCUUCAGACUCAAACUGGGAGAAUGUCAUGAGCGUCAGCUGAUGAUCGGCUGCCCUGAAACACACGCCGUGCAUUUCUAGAGCAAAACUGUUUUUUAUAUGGUGUUGCAGGACAAGUCUAAUUUAGGGUUUUCAAUAGGAGUAAUACAGAAAUACACUGUUUGCAUGCUAGGAUAUCCUGGGAAACCUGUGCUGCAUUUUCUGGAAUGAUGGUGACAAGAUGUCAUUCUCAUGUGCAGAGCUUUAAGAUGGUUGGGUGAUUCUACAAAAUGUACAUUUUUUGGUUAUUUAGGAGGAAAACUUUUCAUCUGAGAGCUUCUUAAACAAAGACAGCUGGUAGGGAAACAGAAACAUGCUGCAGAUUGUUUGGAGCCUCUUCUAAAUGAAUAUUUGUCCGUUGCUGCAUGAAAACAAAUGGAUAAAAAAAAAUAAUAAUAAUAAUAGCUACGUCUGACUAGCUUUUUCAUAAGUUUGUCAUAUGUUGCUAGAUGCAUCAGAUUAAUAACUAAUAUCUGAUCUACAGUUGAUGCUUGCACCAUAAAAACUGUAUUUGUUUAGAUCAGCCAUGUCCAAAGUGUGGCCCGGGGGCCGUCUGCGGCCCUCGGAUGGAUUUUGUUCUCUGGAAUUUUGACUCCAGCAGGCUGCUGACGAAGGUCGACAUUUUUAACAUUUUUAUUUUUUAAUUAUAAACAAAAUCACAUAUUUAUGGCCCUCAGAGACUUUUAACUUGAUCAUUUUAGCCCUUUUCUUUAAGAGUUUUGACACCCUGUAUCCUCUUUAUGCUGCGUUUCUGGUCUUUUUCUUUCAAACAUUAUUAUCUUUUUACAUUUUCUUAAACAUUUUAUCUGCAGCUUUUACCACCAAACACACAUUCCCAUAACUGUGCCGUCUCAUCAGCUUUUAAGAGAAACACAAACAGUAAACCUGUCUGGACUUGGGAUGCCCGUCUUCUGCAGCUUUAGGACAAAUCCAUGCGUGCUUGUCUGAGGCAGGAGCUUUUCCUUUCACUUUCCCCUCUUCCUUUACCGAGACCAUGCCAGUAAUUAGUUUAGAUUAGGAUUAAGCUGCACGAUAAUCUGGUGGCUUUUCUCCUUGUCAGAUUGUUUUUGUCUGCAGUUGCUGUGAGAACCAGGAAGUCAGGCACACCGGAGCAGGGCAACGGCAUUCCAGAAAAAGGGCCUGGAAGCAGACGGCUUCUCACCCUCACCAACAUCGUUUUCUUCAUGCUGCUCAUAAUAAUAAAUAAGUGAACUUUA